GAUGAACGCUGGCGGCGUGCCUAAUACAUGCAAGUCGAACGCGGAUCGUAAGAUCCGAGUGGCGAACGGGUGAGUAAGACGUAAGUAACCUGGCCUAAACAGGGGGAUAACUGAUGGAAACGUCAGCUAAUACCGCAUAGGUAUAGAGACCGCAUGGAAGCUAUAUUAAAGGGUGCCAAGGCACCGGUAUAGGAUGGACUUACGGCGCAUUAGCUAGUUGGAGGGUAAAGGCCCACCAAGGCGACGAUGCGUAGCCGACUGAGAGGUGACCGGCCACACUGGGACUGAGACACGGCCCAGACUCUACGGGAGGCAGCAGUAGGGAAUUUUCGGCAAUGGGCGAAAGCCUGACCGAGCAACGCCGCGUGAAGGAAGAAGGAAUUCGUUCUGUAAACUUCUGUUAUAAAGGAAGAACGGCACAUAUAGGGAAUGAUAUGUGAGUGACGGUACUUUAUGAGGAAGCCACGGCUAACUACGUGCCAGCAGCCGCGGUAAUACGUAGGUGGCGAGCGUUAUCCGGAAUUAUUGGGCUGUAAAGAGGGAGCAGGCGGCAGCAAGGGUCUGUGGUGAAAGAAUGGGGCUCAACCCCACAGAGCCAUAGAAACCGGGCAGCUAGAGUGCAGGAGAGGAUCGUGGAAUUCCAUGUGUAGCGGUGAAAUGCGUAGAUAUAUGGAGGAACACCAGUGGCGAAGGCGACGGUCUGGACUGCAACCGACGCUCAGUCCCGAAAGCGUGGGGAGCAAAUAGGAUUAGAUACCCUAGUAGUCCACGCCGUAAACGAUGAGUACUAAGUGUUGGGAGUCAGAUCCCAGUGCUGCAGUUAACGCAGUAAGUACUCCGCCUGAGUAGUACGUUCGCAAGAAUGAAACUCAAAGGAAUUGACGGGGGCCCGCACAAGCGGUGGAGCAUGUGGUUUAAUUCGAAGCAACGCGAAGAACCUUACCAGGUCUUGACAUCCACGGAAGUUUUCAGAGAUGAGAAUGUGCCUUCGGGAACCGUGAGACAGGUGCUGCAUGGCUGUCGUCAGCUCGUGUUGUGAAAUGUUGGGUUAAGUCCCGCAACGAGCGCAACCCUUAUCCUUUGUUGCCAGCGGUCCGGCCGGGGACUCAAAGGAGACUGCCAGUGAUAAACUGGAGGAAGGUGGGGAUGACGUCAAGUCAUCAUGGCCCUUACGACCAGGGCUACACACGUGCUACAAUGGCGCAUACAAAGAGAAGCGACCUCGCGAGAGCAAGCGGACCUCAUAAAGUGCGUCGUAGUCCGGAUUGGAGUCUGCAACUCGACUCCAUGAAGUCGGAAUCGCUAGUAAUCGUGGAUCAGAAUGCCACGGUGAAUACGUUCCCGGGCCUUGUACACACCGCCCGUCACACCAUGGGAGUGGGUUGCAAAAGAAGUAGGUAGCUUAACCUUCGGGAGGGCGCUUACCACUUUGUGAUUCAUGACUGGGGUG
rnacentral:rRNA from 1 species